GAGUUUGAUCAUGGCUCAAAUUGAACGCUGGCGGCAAGCCUAACACAUGCAAGUCGAGCGGCAGCGGAAGGAAGCUUAGCUUCCUUGCCGGCGAGCGGCAAACGGGUGAGUAAUAUCUGGGGAUCUGCCUAAUGGAGGGGGACAACCACUGGAAACGGUGGCUAAUACCGCGUAAUAUCGAUGAGAUUAAAGUGGGGGACCUGUUUACAGGCCUCAUGCCAUUAGAUGAACCCAGACGAGAUUAGCUAGUUGGUAAGGUAACGGCUUACCAAGGCGACGAUCUCUAGCUGUUCUGAGAGGAAAAUCAGCCACACUGGAACUGAGAUACGGUCCAGGCUCCUACGGGAGGCAGCAGUGGGGAAUCUUGCACAAUGGGCGCAAGCCUGAUGCAGCUAUGCCGCGUGUACGAAGAAGGCCUUAGGGUUGUAAAGUACUUUCAGCAGUGAGGAAAAGCAAAAAGCUAAUACCUUUUUGUGUUGACAUUAACUGCAGAAGAAGCACCGGCUAACUCCGUGCCAGCAGCCGCGGUAAUACGGAGGGUGCAAGCGUUAAUCGGAAUUACUGGGCGUAAAGAGCACGUAGGCGGUUUAUAUAAGUCAGAUGUGAAAUCCCUAGGCUUAACCUGGGAACUGCAUUCGAAACUGAUAAGCUAGAGUCUUGUAGAGGGGAGUAGAACUCCAGGUGUAGCGGUGAAAUGCGUAGAUAUCUGGAAGAAUACCGGUGGCGAAGGCGGCUCCCUGGACAUAGACUGACGCUCAGGUGCGAAAGCGUGGGUAGCAAACAGGAUUAGAUACCCUGGUAGUCCAUGCCGUAAACGAUGUCGAUUUAGAGGCUGUAGCCUUGAGCUGUGGCUUCUGUAGCUAACGCGUUGAAUCGACCGCCUGGGAAGUACGACCGCAAGGUUAAAACUCAAAUGAAUUGACGGGGGCCCGCACAAGCGGUGGAGCAUGUGGUUUAAUUCGAUGCAACGCGAAAAACCUUACCUGGCCUUGACAUCCAAGAAACUUUCCAGAGAUGGAUUGGUGCCUUUCGGGGAAUCUUGAGACAGGUGCUGCAUGGCUGUCGUCAGCUCGUGUUGUGAAAUGUUGGGUUAAGUCCCGCAACGAGCGCAACCCUUGUCCUUUGUUGCCAGCGAUUAGGUCGGGAACUCAAAGGAGACUGCCGGUGAUAAACUGGAGGAAGGUGGGGAUGACGUCAAGUCAUCAUGGCCCUUAUGGCCAGGGCUACACACGUGCUACAAUGGCGUAUACAGAGAGAGGCAAACUCGUAAGAGCAAGCAGACCUCAAAAAGUACGUCUCAGUCCGGAUUGAAGUCUGCAACUCGAUUUCAUGAAGUCGGAAUCGCUAGUAAUCGCGAAUAAGAACGUCGCGGUGAAUACGUUCCCGGGCCUUGUACACACCGCCCGUCACACCAUGGGAGUGGAUUGCAAAAGAAGUAAGCAGUUUAACCCAACUCUGUUGGGAGGGCUCUUACCACUUUGUGGUUCAUGACUGGGGUGAAGUCGUAACAAGGUAACC
rnacentral:rRNA from 1 species